rnacentral:rRNA from 1 species
UACAGAGGUCUCAAGCGUUGUUCGGAUUCAUUGGGCGUAAAGGCUCGUAGGCGGCCAACUAAGUCGGAUGUGAAAUCCCCAGGCUCAACCUGGGAAACUCGCAUCCGAUAACUGGAUGGCUUGAAUCCGGGAGAGGGAUGCAGAAUUCGAGGUGUAGCGGUGAAAUGCGUAGAUAUACUGGAGGAAUACCGGUGGCGAAGGCGGCAUCCUGGACCGGCAUUGACGCUGAGGAGCGAAAGCCAGGG